CCUUCCCCAACCCUACCCCACACCCUACAACUAACACCUCCUCCAACCCUGACCCACACCCUACAACCAACACCCGCCUUCCCCCAACCCUGUCCCACACCCUAAAACUAACACUCCCACAACCCUACCCCACACCGUAUAGCUAACAUGCCCCCAACCCUGUCCCACACCCUACAACUAACACCCCCCUCCCCUGCCCCACACCCUACAACCAACAACCCUUCCCCCAACCCUGUCCCACACCCUACAACUAACUCCCCCCCAACCCUGCCCCACACUCUACUACUAACAUCCCCCCAACCCUACCCCACAGCCUACAACUAACACCCCCGCCCCCCAACACAGUGAUGGUAAAUUCACAAUGGGCUUUUUACCCGACUCAUUGCACAACUCACUGAUAAUAGUGAUGCAGUUUGUAAAUACUCUGUGUAUGUGUUUAUAUACUAAAAGUACAGAGCACGGGGCAGUUUCAGAAAGACUGGCCGAACAGACAGGAUGUCCUGUCCAAGGCUGGCUCACCGCUCUAAAAGUGCUUUCAUCAGAAUUUACCCAAGGUGCAGAUUACAGCUGUCUGUCUUUUAAAGGUCAAAACGUGCCAAUUAUUCACAGUAAUGUGCAAAACACCAUGCAUAUAGCAGUUAGUAUAACAGCAAGAAUUAUGAUUAUCAUAAAUGUGUAUAUCAUGAAUAUAGCAGUUAGUAUGAAAAUUACAGUAACAAUAUCUUGUAGUCAUAGUCACAUAGUCAACUACAAAGGUCAGGGAUCAGAAGUGGUACUGUGCAGGGGUGUUUCUGGGCUGACUGUGCUGUGUUCUCAUUGGAUGCUCUCAGGUGUAACUUGCCAUGUACCCUGUCCCAUACCAGCACAGUACAAAGCUAACGCCGCCUCUCUCCAGCUCUUCAGUAAUGACAUGUGCCAGCAUGGAAAAUGUUCUCAUUCUUUUUGUUCAACAAAGUAAAAAUAAAAAAUGAAAAGGAGCAUUGGGCUCUAAUGCAACCGCUACACAAUGCGCAGCCAUGCUAAUGUGACCACUAUACAAAGCACAGGCAUGCUAAUACAUCCACUACACAAAACUCAGCCAUGCUAAUGCAACCGCUACACAAAGCACAGCCAUGCUAAUGCAACUGCUAUACAAAGUGCAGCCAUGCUAAUGCAUCCAGUACACAAAGCGCACCCAUGCUAAUGCAACUGCUAUACAAAGUGCAGCCAUGCUAAUGCAUCCAGUACACAAAGCGCACCCAUGCUAAUGUAACUGCUAUACAAAGCGCACCCAUGCUAAUGCAUCCACUACACAAAGCACAGCCAUGCUAAUACAUCCACUACACAAAACUCAGCCAUGCUAAUGCAACCGCUACACAAACGCAAAGCUCAGCCAUGCUAAUGUGACCGCUACACAAAGCACAGUCAUGCCAAUGCAACCGCUACACAAAGUGCAGCCAUGCUAAUGCAUCCACUACACAAAGCGCAGCCAUGCUAAUGUGACCACUAUACCAAGUGCAGCCAUGCUAAUGUGACCACUAUACCAAGUGCAGCCAUGCUAAUGCAUCCAGUACACAAAGCGCACCCAUGCUAAUGUGACCACUAUACCAAGUGCAGCCAUGCUAAUGUGACCACUAUACCAAGUGCAGCCAUGCUAAUGCAUCCAGUACACAAAGCGCAGCCAUGCUAAUGUGACCACUACACAAAGCACAGCCAUGCUAAUGUGACCACUAUACCACGUGCAGCCAUGCUAAUGUGACCACUAUACCACGUGCAGCCAUGCUAAUGCAUCCAGUACACAAAGCGCAGCCAUGCUAAUGUGACCACUACACAAAGCACAGCCAUGCUAAUGUGACCACUAUACCAAGUGCAGCCAUGCUAAUACAUCCACAAAAUGCAGCCAUGCUAAUGCAACCGCUACACAAAACACAGCCAUGCUAAUGCAACCGCUACACAAAGCACAGCCAUGCUAAUGCAACCGCUACACAAAACACAGCCAUGCUAAUGCAUCCACUACACAAAGCGCAGCCAUGCUAAUGUGACCACUAUACCAAGUGCAGCCAUGCUAAUGCAUCCAGUACACAAAGCGCAGCCAUGCUAAUGUGACCAUUAUACCAAGUGCAGCCAUGCUAAUGCAUCCAGUACACAAAGCGCAGCCAUGCUAAUGUGACCACUAUACCACGUGCAGCCAUGCUAAUGUGACCACUAUACCAAGUGCAGCCAUGCUAAUGCAUCCAGUACACAAAGCGCAGCCAUGCUAAUGUGACCACUACACAAAGCACAGCCAUGCUAAUGUGACCACUAUACCAAGUGCAGCCAUGCUAAUACAUCCACAAAAUGCAGCCAUGCUAAUGCAACCCGUACACAAAACACAGCCAUGCUAAUGCAACCGCUACACAAAGCACAGCCAUGCUAAUGCAACCGCUACACAAAACACAGCCAUGCUAAUGCAUCCACUACACAAAGCGCAGCCAUGCUAAUGUGACCACUAUACCAAGUGCAGCCAUGCUAAUGCAUCCAUACACAAAGCGCAGCCAUGCUAAUGUGACCACUACACAAAGCACAGCCAUGCUAAUACAUCCACUACACAAAACUCAGCCAUGCCAAUGCAUCCACAAAAUGCAGCCAUGCUAAUGCAACCGCUACACAAAACUCAGCCAUGCUAAUGCAUCCAAAAAGCGCAGCCAUGCUAAUAUGUAGCUGCACGCAGUCCAGAUCAUAGCCAUAAAUCAGUAUGAACUGCUGAGAGUGUAGCACCCUUCAGAGUUGAACCCAUGGACAUUGCAUCUAUGACCUGCUACAGGGCCUCACUCAGUAAUAGCUGAGCACAUGGCCGUGUGUAGCUCAUAUCCAAGGGCCAGAGAGCCACAGCCUGGCUCCUGUGCCAGUGCCAUUUCUCCAAAGUGUUCUUAGAGACAAUAGCACAGACACAAAAUGCCAAACAUGAUUUUAGCUGCAGUUACUGGCUCACUGGUUUGUCCAUUAGAUGUUCAUUGUUGUUUUUAGUGGUACGUGUUCACUGUAAGUUUGACUGUUUUAAAUGGGAAAGUAUGUCAUAGUCAUACAACAAUCAGCAACAAUUCCAUCUUCCACUCUACAGCUUGUUAAAGGGGUCAGCUGUCAUUAAAGCUGGCAGCUGGCAGGAAUGUCACUCUGGCUCCUCCUACAGGCCGCAAGACUUACUGCAGGGACAGGAAACGCUCUGACUGAUGGGUAUACAGCCCCAGCACAAAGCUGCAUGUUUAUGCUCUUUUAUAAACUCAACAGGCCAAGCUUCAGUGGCCUCAAGUGUAAUUCUGCACUGGCUCCUUUUCUAGAUCUAUAGAAUAGUCUGAGUCCAGGGUGAGGCCGCAGAUCAGAUCCCUUAAAUCUCACUUCAAUACAUUGAGAGCAAUAGCAGUAUUAUUUUUCAAAUAAUUUUUGAAACAUUUGUGCCGUGUAUGUUCACACACACACACACAUACACACGUGUAUAUAGUGAUGUUGUGAGGCGGUGUUCUGCUGUUUUGUGGUGCCUGUCCUGUGUUCAGUGUGUGGUCUCUGAAACACUUCAGCAGUUUUCCCAUUACCAUGAGGAAUGUUACAGUCUUGCAUGAUGUGUUAAUAUUGUGACAAUAUGGUCUUCAAAUUGUACAUUUGUAUAUUAAAUAAACAAUAAAAUAUGUCUGAACAA